UACAGAGGUCUCAAGCGUUGUUCGGAUUCAUUGGGCGUAAAGGGUGCGUAGGCGGCGCCGUAAGUCAGGUGUGAAAUCCCGGGGCUCAACCCCGGAACUGCACUUGAUACUGCGGUGCUCGAGUACUGGAGAGGAGAUUGGAAUUUACGGUGUAGCAGUGAAAUGCGUAGAUAUCGUAAGGAAGACCAGUGGCGAAGGCGAAUCUCUGGACAGUUACUGACACUGAGGCACGAAGGCCAGGGGAGCAAACGGG
rnacentral:rRNA from 1 species